UUUUAUUCCUUUAGCUCAUUAUUACAUUAUGUUGAUCCAACUGUAGGUUCUUACAAUGGAGCAUGUUCAAGGAAUCAAGAUCAAUAUGAUACAAGCUUUAGACCAAUUAGGUGUUGAUCAUAAAAAGUUCCACAGGCUGGGCAUGCAUGCUGUUGAAUCAUAUCUUGAACAAAUACUGUCUCACGGUGAAUAAAUUUGAUUUAAUGUUAUUAAAUUGUUGGUGACACACAAGUUGGGAAUGCUUAUAUUCAGCAGUAUUAUCAUAUACUGCACCAGUCACCUGGGGUGGUUCAUCAUUUUUAUCAGGAUAUCAGUAAACUUGGUCGGCCCGAGGAAGAUAGUUCUAUGAGCAUAACCACUACUAUGGAUGCUGAGAUCAAAUCCGUUGAUGCUCAAGAAUCCCUAAACGGUGGAGUCAGUGUUCUGGUAACUGGAUACAUGAAUGGAAUGGAUAAUAUUCAGCAGCAGUUCACACAAUCUUUCUUCCUCGCACCUCAAGAUAAAGGCUACUUUGUCUUGAAUGGCGUGUUUCGCUACAUGAACAUUGACAACCAUCAUGACGAAGACCAUGCUCCUAUUGAGGAUGUGGUGGCUUCUGCAACUCCCGAGCAAGGUGACACAUUUGAUGAAUUGAUGUCAGUCAUUAUAUUGGAACUUGUAUUGGUUUAUUCCGUAUUAAUUUUUUGAAAUGAAAUGAGUUUCAGUGCCUGAGGUUGU